rnacentral:tRNA from 1 species
GGGCCUGUAGAUUAGUCGCAGAUCGCAAAUAAUGUUGUUUCAACAUGUUGGUAAAUUGGUUCGCAAUCAAGAGGCCGCGGGUUCAAUUCCCGCCAGGUCCA